UUGAUAGAAGCCAAAAUAGAGGCAUAUCACUGUUAAUGAUAAAAUUGAAUUUUUUCCUAUCAAG
rnacentral:tRNA from 2 species